AUUGAACGCCGGCGGCAGGCCUAACACAUGCAAGUCGAACGAGUGGCGGACGGGUGAGUAAUGUCUGGGAAACCGCCUGAUGGAGGGGGAUAACUACUGGAAACGGUAGCUAAUACCGCAUACCAUCAGAUGCGCCCAGAUGGGAUUAGCUUGUUGGUGGGGUAACGGCUCACCAAAGCGACGAUCCCGAGCUGGUCUGAGAGGAUGACCAGCCACGCUGGAAGUGAGACACGGUCCAGACUCCUACGUGACGCAGCAGGGGGGAAUAAUGCACAAUGGGCGCAAGCCUGAUGCAGCCAUGCCGCGUGUAUGAAGAAGGCCUUCGGGUUGUAAAGUACUUUCAGCGGGGAGGCGUUACCCGCAGAAGAAGCACCGGCUAGCUCCGUGCCAGCAGCCGCGGUAAUAC
rnacentral:rRNA from 1 species